rnacentral:rRNA from 1 species
UACGUAGGGACCGAGCGUUGUCCGGAUUCAUUGGGCGUAAAGAGCUCGUAGGCGGCUGUUCAAGUCGAACGUGAAAACUCGGAGCUCAACUCCGAGCCUGCAUUCGAUACUGUCGUGACUCGAGUCCGGUAGGGGAGUGUGGAAUUCCCGGUGUAGCGGUGAAAUGCGCAGAGAUCGGGAGGAACACCCGUAGCGAAGGCGGCACUCUGGGCCGGUACUGACGCUGAGGAGCGAAAGCGUGGGGAGCAAACAGG